UUCCUUUAAUCGUCAACCCGGAGUCCCACGGCGGCUAAUGCAAGAGGCCAAAAAAUGUUUGGAGGAAGAAAAACAAAGGCAGGAAGUGGCGGCGGCCUGACGGUGCGUGUGUCUGUAAAGAAGGGAGGGAACCGGUUCAAUCUUUUCUUGUUUUUUCGAACUUCAAGGUCUAGGCAG
rnacentral:lncRNA from 1 species